rnacentral:rRNA from 1 species
GACGGAGGGUGCAAGUGUUAUCCGGAAUCACUGGGCGUAAAGCGUCUGUAGGUGGUUUAAUAAGUCAACUGUUAAAUCUUGAGGCUCAACCUCAAAAUCGCAGUCGAAACUAUUAGGCUAGAGUAUAGUAGGGGUAAAGGGAAUUUCCAGUGGAGCGGUGAAAUGCGUAGAGAUUGGAAAGAACACCGAUGGCGAAGGCACUUUACUGGGCUAUUACUAACACUCAGAGACGAAAGCUAGGGUAGCAAAUGGG